rnacentral:rRNA from 1 species
GACAGAGGGGGCAAGCGUUGCUCGGAAUUACUGGGCGUAAAGGGUGCGUAGGCGGCGGGGCAAGUCUGAUGUGAAAUCCUGGGGCUCAACCCCAGAACUGCACUGGAUACUGCUCUGCUAGAGGGCUGGAGAGGAGAUCGGAAUUCACGGUGUAGCAGUGAAAUGCGUAGAUAUCGUGAGGAAGACCAGUGGCGAAGGCGGAUCUCUGGACAGCUCCUGACGCUGAGGCGCGAAGGCUAGGGGAGCAAACGGG